GAAUUCCAAGUGAAGUUCAAGGCUGUUAGGCGUUUGCUAAUGAAGCACUCAAAUUGAAACCUCCUCGAAGAACCGUUUUUACCGCUAACCAUGCAACCAAUUGUGUUUUCUUUCAAACUGCUGAGGCAAUGUUUCCUGGAAGCCCAAAAACAGACAACGAAGAAAAACAAAAAUAAAAUCGACAACAAACAAGAGAAAAACACUAAAAAAGGCAACCUUGUUAGCACUUGGGGCAAAGUCGGUGGACUCGAAAUGCACCCACAAGAAAUGCAACAAACUUGUGGCAAUUUACAUAACAAGACCAGCUCCCAAGGCGAGAGGCAGACAAUCAGUGGCGCUACAGCAACCCAAAGCCUGUCAACGCAUAAUCCAUCAAACAGCAAUGUACAGCAACAACAACAUCAGGAAGUUGUCACACUUCAUCAAGAGUCCAUUCCUAACUCAAUACACGUCGAUCCGAACCCAUACCCGUAUCCGUACCCAAGCCCGAACCAUUCCCAGAAAAAAGAAACCAACUUGUUGGCGUGCCAAGGCCAAACGUGUCGUUGCGCCAAACAAUUUGUAAGCCAUCAUUUCAAUUA